rnacentral:rRNA from 1 species
AGAGUGAACGCUGGCGGUAGGCCUAACACAUGCAAGUCGAACGGCAGCACGGUAAGAGCUUGCUCUUAUGGGUGGCGAGUGGCGGACGGGUGAGGAAUACAUCGGAAUCUACCUUUUGGUGGGGGAUAACGUAGGGAAACUUACGCUAAUACCGCAUACGCCCUUCGGGGGAAAGCCGGGGGACCAGCAAUGGCCUGGUGCUGAUAGAUGAGCCGAUGUCGGAUUAGCUAGUUGGUGAGGUAAUGGCUCACCAAGGCGACGAUCCGUAGCUGGUCUGAGAGGAUGAUCAGCCACACUGGAACUGAGACACGGUCCAGACU